AUUGAACGCUGGCGGCAUGCCUUACACAUGCAAGUCGAACGGCAGCACGGGUGCUUGCACCUGGUGGCGAGUGGCGAACGGGUGAGUAAUACAUCGGAACAUGUCCUGUAGUGGGGGAUAGCCCGGCGAAAGCCGGAUUAAUACCGCAUACGAUCCACGGAUGAAAGCGGGGGCCCUUCGGGCCUCGCGCUAUGGGGUUGGCCGAUGGCGGAUUAGCUAGUUGGUGGGGUAAAGGCCUACCAAGGCGACGAUCAGUAGCUGGUCUGAGAGGAUGAUCAGCCACACUGGGACUGAGACACGGCCCAGACUCCUACGGGAGGCAGCAGUGGGGAAUUUUGGACAAUGGGCGAAAGCCUGAUCCAGCAAUGCCGCGUGUGUGAAGAAGGACUUCGGGUUGUAAAGCACUUUUGUCCGGAAAGAAAUCCUUGACUCUAAUACAGUCGGGGGAUGACGGUACCGGAAGAAUAAGCACCGGCUAACUACGUG
rnacentral:rRNA from 1 species